rnacentral:rRNA from 1 species
UACGAAGGGGGCUAGCGUUGUUCGGAUUUACUGGGCGUAAAGCGCGUGUAGGCGGGUCGUUAAGUUGGGGGUGAAAUCCCGGGGCUCAACCUCGGAACUGCCUUUGAUACUGGGUGUCUAGAGUAUGGAAGAGGUAAGUGGAAUUGCGAGUGUAGAGGUGAAAUUCGUAGAUAUUCGCAGGAACACCAGUGGCGAAGGCGGCUUACUGGUCCAUUACUGACGCUGAGGUGCGAAAGCGUGGGGAGCAAACAGG